UCCCAGGAGGACUAGUGGGUAGACCACGGCACUCUUACUGCCACAGCCCGGGUUUGAUUCCCAGCCAGGAAA
rnacentral:tRNA from 1 species